AUUGAACGCUGGCGGCAUGCCUUACACAUGCAAGUCGAACGGUAACAGGUCUUCGGAUGCUGACGAGUGGCGAACGGGUGAGUAAUACAUCGGAACGUGCCCGAGAGUGGGGGAUAACGAGGCGAAAGCUUUGCUAAUACCGCAUACGAUCUCAGGAUGAAAGCAGGGGACCGCAAGGCCUUGCGCUCACGGAGCGGCCGAUGGCAGAUUAGGUAGUUGGUGGUAUAAAAGCUUACCAAGCCGACGAUCUGUAGCUGGUCUGAGAGGACGACCAGCCACACUGGGACUGAGAAACGGGCCAGGCGGCUACGGGAGGCAGCAGUGGGGAAGUGUGUACACUGGGCGCGAGCCGGAUCCAGGCAUGACGCGGGGAGGAUGGAGGCCUUCGGGUUGUAAACUGCUUUUGUAAGGAACGAAAAGACUCUGGUUAAUGCCGGGGGUCCAUGACGGUACCGUAAGAAUAAGCACCGGCUAACUACGGGCCAGCCGCCGCAGUAACAC
rnacentral:rRNA from 1 species